GACGAACGCUGGCGGCGUGCUUAACACAUGCAAGUCGAACGGAAAGGCCCUGCUUUUGUGGGGUGCUCGAGUGGCGAGCGGGUGGGUAACACGUGAGUAACCUGCCCUUGACUUUGGGAUAACUUCAGGAAACUGGGGCUAAUACCGGAUAGGAGCUCCUGCUGCAUGGUGGGGGUUGGAAAGUUUCGGCGGUUGGGGAUGGACUCGCGGCUUAUCAGCUUGUUGGUGGGGUAGUGGCUUACCAAGGCUUUGACGGGUAGCCGGCCUGAGAGGGUGACCGGCCACAUUGGGACUGAGAUACGGCCCAGACUCCUACGGGAGGCAGCAGUGGGGAAUAUUGCACAAUGGGCGGAAGCCUGAUGCAGCAACGCCGCGUGCGGGAUGACGGCCUUCGGGUUGUAAACCGCUUUCGCCUGUGACGAAGCGUGAGUGACGGUAAUGGGUAAAGAAGCACCGGCUAACUACGUG
rnacentral:rRNA from 1 species